UGGGAUAUAGUGUAAUGGCAACACAAGAGACUUUGACUCUCUCGUUACAGGUUCGAAUCCUGUUAUCCCAG
rnacentral:tRNA from 1 species